ACGUGGCAACUGCAAAGUAUGAAAACAUUUGUUUCACUUGUUUGGACAUGGACAGCCAGAACAGGAACUCACCUCUGCAGCAUUACCAUGUCCAAAACACUCAAGCUUUGCUCUUUAAUCAGAGAUUCAAUCUCACUCCUGGGUUGCAAAGAAGAAGAAUGUUCCCAUUGCCAUGAGUGCUGCUGAAAUCACAGACGAGAUGAGACUGCAUUAUCUGAGCAACAGAAACUGGGCAUCAGGCCACCUGCACCAGUAUUAUGGAGACCGGCUCUGUAAAGGUCUG
rnacentral:lncRNA from 1 species